GAAGGGUUGGUGUAAGAAACUGGGUAUUGGGGUUUCCCCUGUCUGGCAGUACAAUGUGGUGGAGCAGAAGGCUCUGGUUAUUCCUCCCUGUCAUAUUUCAGCUGAGGGAUGCAGAGGGGCUUGGUGUGUGGAACAAAUCUGCACCACAUUGGUAUGGUGUAGCAACAUCAGCUUCUGUGGCUCAGCCCCAAGAAGUUGGCUACCUACCUUAUCUGACCAAGAUGGAGGGCUCUCCUUCCAGUGUUGCAUCUAAGCAAAGUAGCUCUGUGUUCCCUCAGCAAGGCCUGGAACCCAGUCAGACUGCGGGUGGAUGUUUAAGGAGCGGUUCCAGAAA